rnacentral:rRNA from 1 species
AUUGAACGCUGGCGGAAUGCUUUACACAUGCAAGUCGAACGGUAGAGGGGGCAACCCCUCGAGAGUGGCGAACGGGUGAGUAAUAUAUCGGAACGUGCCCAGUCGUGGGGGAUAACGUAGCGAAAGUUACGCUAAUACCGCAUACGAUCUAAGGAUGAAAGCGGGGGAUCGCAAGACCUCGCGCGAUUGGAGCGGCCGAUAUCCGAUUAGGUAGAUGGUGGGGUAAAGGCUCGCCAAGCCAACGAUCUGUAGCGGGUCUAAGAGGACGGCCAGCCACACUGGAACUGAGACACGGUCCAGACUCCUACGGGAGGCAGCAGUGGGGAAUUUUGGACAAUGGACGCAAGUCUGAUCCAGCCAUUCCGCGUGCAGGAUGAAGGCCCUCGGGUUGUAAACUGCUUUUGUACGGAACGAAAAGGUCUCUCUUAAUACGGGGGGCUCAUGACGGUACCGUAAGAAUAAGCACCGGCUAACUACGUGCCAGCCGCCGCAGUAA